rnacentral:rRNA from 1 species
GAUGAACGCUGGCGGCGUGCCUAAUACAUGCAAGUCGAACGCAUUGUGGUUGAAAUGAUAUGAAGAACUUGUUCAGAUUUGAUUUUCAACAUUGCAAUGAGUGGCGAACGGGUGAGUAACACGUGGGAAACCUACCUCUUAGCAGGGGAUAACAUUUGGAAACAAAUGCUAAUACCGUAUAAUAAUUAAAACCGCAUGGUUUUAGUUUAAAAGAUGGUCUUGCUAUCACUAAGAGAUGGUCCCGCGGUGUAUUAGUUAGUUGGUGAGGUAAUGGCUCACCAAGACAAUGAUACAUAGCCGAGUUGAGAGACUGACCGGCCACAAUGGGACUGAGACACGGCCCAUACUCCUACGGGAGGCAGCAGUAGGGAAUCUUCCACAAUGGACG